GCAACCCCAGUUCUCAUAUGAUCACUGAAGUUAAGCAACAUCAAGCCUUUUCAGUAUCUAGAUGGGUGACCGUUUGCAAAUACCAGGUGCUGUAAG